rnacentral:rRNA from 1 species
CAGCAGCCGCGGUAAUACGAAGGGUGCAAGCGUUACUCGGAAUUACUGGGCGUAAAGCGUGCGUAGGUGGUGGCUUAAGUCCGUUGUGAAAGCCCUGGGCUCAACCUGGGAAUUGCAGUGGAUACUGGAUCACUAGAGUGUGGUAGAGGAUAGUGGAAUUUCCGGUGUAGCAGUGAAAUGCGUAGAGAUCGGAAGGAACAUCUGUGGCGAAGGCGGCCAUCUGGGACAACACUGACGCUGAGGCACGAAAGCGUGGGGAGCAAACAGGAUUAGAUACCCGCGUAGUCCCUGUCUCUUAUAC